UAUUUCAAAACUUGGGUAUUUAAAGAAAAAUAUUUCAAUCGAGAUCGGUAGUACCAUCAAUAUGAAGCUAACAUUGUUGUUCAUCGUCGUUCUUGUUUUAGUUACAGUGAAUACUGUUUCUUCACAACUAUCACCCUUUGCAAACAUUCCUGAUGAGAUCCCCGAAGGUCCGAAAACAUCCUCUCUAGUUGCUGGUAACGAUGCUCAAAAAUUAAAGGUUGUCGACUCCUUGGUGAAGGUCCAAAAACCAAGAUUUCCACAUCCAAUAUUGUGAACAGUAUAAAAAUUGCAUACGAAAUGAAGGACCAAUUCAAAAACAUAAACAAUAUAUGUUUAUUGGUUUAUACAUGAAUAAAAAAUAAUAAAAUUAUUUUCAUUA